rnacentral:rRNA from 1 species
UGGGGAAUAUUGGACAAUGGGGGGAACCCUGAACCAGCCAUGCCGCGUGUGUGAAGAAGGUCUUCGGAUUGUAAAGCACUUUAAGCGAGGAGGAGGGUACUGGUAUUAAUACUACCAGGUACUGGACGUUACUCGCAGAAUAAGCACCGGCUAACUCUGUGCCAGCAGCCGCGGUAAUACAGAGGGUGCGAGCGUUAAUCGGAUUUACUGGGCGUAAAGCGUGCGUAGGCGGCUAAUUGAGUCGGAUGUGAAAUCCCCGAGCUUAACUUGGGAAUUGCAUUCGAUACUGGUUAGCUAGAGUGUGGGAGAGGAUGGUAGAAUUCCAGGUGUAGCGGUGAAAUGCGUAGAGAUCUGGAGGAAUACCGAUGGCGAAGGCAGCCAUCUGGCCUAACACUGACGCUGAGGUACGAAAGCAUGGGGAGCAAACAGG